CUCUCUCUCUCCCUCUCUCUCUCUCAGCACCUUCGCACCUGCUGCUGCACUGAGGAGGUCCCGGAGGGUGGACCAAUACCAAUUUAGGAGCCCAUGCAUUGUGUUGGAGCGGAAGGAGCACGAUGCGCUAACACCAAUCCAUGGUUGGUAGAAGGAGGCGCCCAGAAUGAAGUCGUAUCGCGUGAUGAGGAUCGUGCCUCGUCUUGUCCUGCCGUGUAAUUACCGCAGGUUCCCGCUCUCCCUACACCUCUAGGUGCAGAGAAGGGGCGGCGGGCUGCUGGCGCUGCGGCGGUCCGGGAACGACGGGCGGCGGACGCUCCGGAUGAGGCAGAGGCGGCGUUAGGAGGGGAAGAAGAAGGGUCGAGACCCACCCGAAGAGAUACCGAUACUGUAGCCCCGUUGUAGACCACGGUGGUAUAGCGAGUUCAGGGGGUGUAGGUCACCAUGUCGUACCAUGCUGGACAGUAGUCACGUUUGGCCGGAGCACCAGUCGCCGAGUGAGAUACCACGAAACUAGCCUAGACGGUGCCGUAAGUGGUAACGCCUAAAAGAUCCUUCCGCGUCUCUCGAACAACAAAGAAGAUAGUACAUAAACUAACCUCGAGAAGAGUGUCGUCACCGGGGAUUGAAGGAAUAGUACCACCAACCAGCGAAAAAUAUACCGUAUCCUUAACCUAACCGAUACGUGCGACGAGGUUACAUAUAACGACUCUGACGAGGUUCAGUCUAAUCUCCGUACGAGUAAAGAGAGUUCCUCAAGAAAUAACAAGAACCCUACGAAGAACCAAUAUAUCAUCCGUUAGAGAAACAACUUCACUAAAGACCAACCGCGAUGUACAUACGGCGGUCACGAGGCUAUACACAGUAAUACCCGUAGCCUUACACGACCAAUGGAACAAGUGGAUCCACCGAAGACAAUACACGGUGUGUUCCUUUUCCUCUAGACGCCCUCUGUUUUCUUUUACGAUGUGCAACGAAUACAGCUAACUCCCCAGUUCGCAGUGGACUAAACCAAAGCCUCGUCCAAUUAAACUAAGACCUUCUUGACAGUAUGCAACCACUUCUCUUUUUUCGUCCGAAGUCACUCUAGAAAGUUCCUUUCACAGAGUUUCGUUACUAUUAACCUACACCGAACCACAAGAAAGUCGUCCAGUGACCAGUUGGUUCACACGAUAUAAUACGACGCUGUUAAAAAGUCUCACGACCUAAGAGACCUCGUAGACUACGGUGAGCACAUAGUUAAGAAGAACCGAACGACUUCGACUAAUACUGACCUCAACGGCAAGAACACCAACUGUUUGAACCGUCUUCUGGUAAUGAUUAACCACCACAAUCACCUUAACGACAGAGGGAUAAGAACAACAGAAGUAUGAUAUGGAACAAAUGCCCACGAGGAAUACACCGACAUUAUCGUGAUGAUGACAUACAACCGACGAUGGUCAAUAGUAAACCAGGCUAACCGACCGAAUACUAAAGCCUCCAAAAGGGCGACUUUGACGCACCGGCACCUAACUCACAACGACAAGAACACUUGAAGCGGAGGUUGCGCGAACAGUGAAAACGAAAGAGGGGUGAUCUCCUGAACUAACCGUGACCCCAAGAGAAACGAAGCAAGCCCCACUAACGCCACCGCAGAGAGCGUAAGUAUAAGACGUAACACGGGCUUUGUUUUCCCGAGUGGGACCUUCUUUAGCUUCGGUUUGACAUCUAGGUUGAUAGAUACAGAGUAGAAUCAAUCUUAGAAGAAAUGACGAGAAUAAUGAGUCGAUGAGGGAGGCGGGGUAUUAAAUUCCGCAAAAAUGUAAUACCCUGUCUCCCUCAUAAAACAUUCACAUCAUAAUGCAACUCUUUUGAUGAAUAAAAGGAGACUUAUUCUAUAUAGAUUUAUCUUCCACAGGUUCACCUUCUCAGAAGUACUCGC
rnacentral:rRNA from 1 species